rnacentral:rRNA from 1 species
AGUAAAUAGAUACCCCGGUAGUCCACGCCGUAAACGAUGUCGACUUGGAGGUUGUGCCCUUGAGGCGUGGCUUCCGGAGCUAAACGCGUUAAAGUCGACCGCCUGGGGAGUACGGCCGCAAGGUUAAAACUCAAAUGAAUUGACGGGGGCCCGCACAAGCGGUGGAGCACGUGGUUUAAUUCGACGCAAACGCGAAGAACCUUACCUACUCUUGACAUCCAGAGAACUUAGCAGAGAUGCUUUGGUGCCUUCGGGAACUCUGAGACAGGUGCUGCAUGGCUGUCGUCAGCUCGUGUUGUGAAAUGUUGGGUUAAGUCCCGCAACGAGCGCAACCCUUAUCCUUUGUUGCCAGCGGUUAGGCCGGGAACUCAAAGGAGACUGCCAGUGAUAAACUGGAGGAAGGUGGGGAUGACGUCAAGUCAUCAUGGCCCUUACGAGUAGGGCUACACACGUGCUACAAUGGCGCAUACAAAGAGAAGCGACCUCGCGAGAGCAAGCGGACCUCAUAAAGUGCGUCGUAGUCCGGAUUGGAGUCUGCAAC